rnacentral:rRNA from 1 species
UGGGGAAUAUUGCGCAAUGGGGGGAACCCUGACGCAGCCAUGCCGCGUGAAUGAAGAAGGCCUUAGGGUUGUAAAGUUCUUUCGGUAUUGAGGAAGGUUGAUGUGUUAAUAGCACAUCAAAUUGACGUUAAAUACAGAAGAAGCACCGGCUAACUCCGUGCCAGCAGCCGCGGUAAUACGGAGGGUGCGAGCGUUAAUCGGAAUAACUGGGCGUAAGGGCACGCAGGCGGUUAUUUAAGUGAGGUGUGAAAGCCCCGGGCUUAACCUGGGAAUUGCAUUUCAGACUGGGUAACUAGAGUACUUUAGGGAGGGGUAGAAUUCCACGUGUAGCGGUGAAAUGCGUAGAGAUGUGGAGGAAUACCGAAGGCGAAGGCAGCCCCUUGGGAAUGUACUGACGCUCAUGUGCGAAAGCGUGGGGAGCAAACAGGAUUAGAUACCCUGGUAGUCCACGCUGUAAACGCUGUCGAUUUGGGGGUUGGGGUUUAACUCUGGCGCCCGUAGCUAACGUGAUAAAUCGACCGCCUGGGGAGUACGGCCGCAAGGUUA